rnacentral:lncRNA from 1 species
AUAAACCCUCACAGCAAGCUUUGGUGCUUAUAUAAAUCCUUACAUCAUCUAUCCACAAAACAUUGAUUGGUCACCCUUGAUGUUUGAGGCACUGUGCUAAACCUCAGGGAUAAGGACAUGAGGGGUCUGGCCGAUGCUGUCCACCGCGUCUGAGACCUCCCUUUGGGGCCAGACUCCUCCUGAGGGGGGUGCUUUACCUCAGGGGCACCAUGAAUCUUUCAAUGGCUGCCACAGACAGGAGGAGGAGAAAGCAGAGCAUUUGAUCUGAAUGGUGAU